rnacentral:rRNA from 1 species
GAUGAACGCUGGCGGCGUGCCUAAUACAUGCAAGUCGAGCGAACAGACGAGGAGCUUGCUCCUCUAACGUUAGCGGCGGACGGGUGAGUAACACGUGGAUAAUCUACCUAUAAGACUGGGAUAACUUCGGGAAACCGGAGCUAAUACCGGAUAAUAUAUUGAACCGCAUGGUUCAAUAGUGAAAGACGGUUUUGCUGUCACUUAUAGAUGGAUCCGCGCCGCAUUAGCUAGUUGGUAAGGUAACGGCUUACCAAGGCAACGAUGCGUAGCCGACCUGAGAGGGUGAUCGGCCACACUGGAACUGAGACACGGUCCAGACUCCUACGGGAGGCAGCAGUAGGGAAUCUUCCGCAAUGGGCGAAAGCUUGACGGAGCAACGCCGCGUGAGUGAUGAAGGUCUUCGGAUCGUAAAACUCUGUUAUUAGGGAAGAACAAAUGUGUAAGUAACUAUGCACGUCUUGACGGUACCUAAUCAGAAAGCCACGGCUAACUACGUG